UCCGUAGGUGAACCUGCGGAGGGAUCAUUACCGAGUUUUCAACUCCCAAACCCCUGUGAACAUACCAAUCGUUGCCUCGGCGGGAGAGCCCCGGGCGUUGGCGCAAGCCUCGCACCGGUAUCAGGCGCCCGCCGGAGGACCCAAACAAACUCUUGAAUUCUAAAGUAUCUUCUGAGUAAUAUAAGUUAAAUAAAUUAAAACUUUCAACAACGGAUCUCUUGGUUCUGGCAUCGAUGAAGAACGCAGCGAAAUGCGAUAAGUAAUGUGAAUUGCAGAAUUCAGUGAAUCAUCGAAUCUUUGAACGCACAUUGCGCCCGCCAGUAUUCUGGCGGGCAUGCCUGUUCGAGCGUCAUUUCAACCCUCAAGCCCAGCUUGGUGUUGGGGAUCGGCACAGGCGCCCUCGGGCGCCCGCCGUCCCCUAAAUCUAGUGGCGGUCCCGCUGCAGCCUCCUCUGCGUAGUAGUUUUCUCCUCGCAAGGGCAGCUCGGUGGCGACCUCGCCGUAAAACCCCCAACUUCUGAAAGGUUGACCUCGAAUCAGGUAGGAAUACCCGCUGAACUUAAGCAUAUCAAUAAGCGGAGGA
rnacentral:rRNA from 1 species